GACGAACGCUGGCGGCGUGCUUAACACAUGCAAGUCGAACGGUGACCUCGAGAGCUUGCUCUUGGGUGAACAGUGGCGAACGGGUGAGUAACACGUGAGUAACCUGCCCCUGACUCUGGAAUAAGCGCUGGAAACGGCGUCUAAUACCGGAUAUGACACACCCUCGCAUGGGGAGUGUGUGGAAAGUUUUUCGGCCUGGGAUGGACUCGCGGCCCAUCAGCUUGUUGGUGAGGUAAUGGCUCACCAAGGCGAUGACGGGUAGCCGGCCUGAGAGGGCGACCGGCCACACGGGGACUGGGACACGGCCCAGACUCCUACGGGAGGCAGCAGUGGGGAAUAUUGCACAAUGGGCGAAAGCCUGAUGCAGCGACGCCGCGUGAGGGAUGACGGCCUUCGGGUUGUAAACCUCUUUCAGCAGGGAAGAAGCGCAAGUGACGGUACCUGCAGAAGAAGCACCGGCUAACUACGUGCCAGCAGCCGCCGUAACAC
rnacentral:rRNA from 1 species